rnacentral:rRNA from 1 species
CAGUCGCCACGGUAAUACGUAGGGUGCAAGCGUUAAUCGGAAUUACUGGGCGUAAAGCGUGCGCAGGCGGUUAUAUAAGACAGAUGUGAAAUCCCCGGGCUCAACCUGGGAACUGCAUUUGUGACUGUAUAGCUAGAGUACGGCAGAGGGGGAUGGAAUUCCGCGUGUAGCAGUGAAAUGCGUAGAUAUGCGGAGGAACACCGAUGGCGAAGGCAAUCCCCUGGGCCUGUACUGACGCUCAUGCACGAAAGCGUGGGGAGCAAACAGGAUUAGAUACCCGCGUAGUCCCUGUCUCUUAUAA